GAUGAAGAACGCAGCGAAAUGCGAUAAGUAAUGUGAAUUGCAGAAUUCAGUGAAUCAUCGAAUCUUUGAACGCACAUUGCGCCCGCCAGUAUUCUGGCGGGCAUGCCUGUCCGAGCGUCAUUUCAACCCUCGAACCCCUCCGGGAGGUCGGCGUUGGGGAUCGGCCCCUCACCGGGCCGCCCCCGAAAUCCAGUGGCGGUCUCGCCGCAGCCUCUCCUGCGCAGUAGUUUGCACACUCGCACCGGGAGCGCGGCGCGGCCACAGCCGUAAAACACCCCAAACUCUGAAAUGUUGACCUCGGAUCAGGUAGGAAUACCCGCUGAACUUAAGCAUAUCAAUAAGCGGAGGA
rnacentral:misc_RNA from 1 species